CCUGAGCAGCGGCUCGGCGGGGAUCUCGUGCAAGCGCGGCAGCUGCGCGUGGAUCCGGGCGGCGUGGGCUCCUCUCCUGGUGUCCAGGCGCGGACCUCGGGAGGCGAUUCGGACCGGACUGUAGACGCCAGUUCGAGCGCGGCUCCUUCCGGCGUGGACCCGACGGAGCGUGCGGACCCAGGCGGCGCGAGCAGGAGGGCGUGCGGCGACUUCCGUGGCCAGCGGCGCGGGUCCAGGAGGCCUUCGUGUGCGACCCCUUCCACAUCUCCAGGUAUCCAUCAGGAAAGGAAGAAGGACUGGGGGGAGAUAAAACUCUUUGUAUGGUUAUUGCAUCCAUCUUAUGUGUACAAAUCUUGGUUAUUGCAUCGAUCUUGUUUUUGCUCUUUUGGGCUGUGAUUUUUCACCUGAGUUGCUGUCCUCCCAUCGUCCAAUCUGUUCGGCUGGGGAGUCAUUCUUGUGGUUCGUGGAUGAGUCCUGGAGAGAGCUGGUGGGUCCGCCUGGGCCAGCGAGCUUUUUUUUUCCGUGCGUGUAGCACUGGGGGACGCCUGGAAACGUGCUGCCUUUUGUACUAUUCCAAAAACAGUGCGGCCGUACAACCGGUCUAAAUUGCGGCCGGCCGUAAAUUAGUCGUAUCCUUUAAUCUAA